GUAUCAUAUUCCCUGGCUUUUCUGACUGGUUCCCAGGUGGGCACAUGACCUAAGCUGGGCCAAUCAGAGCUUAUCUCAUAACUCUGUGGAAAAGACUUCCGGGAAAGCCACGCUAAAGUGAGAAGCAUCGUCAAUAACACCUUUCUCCCCCUUUAAGUUAGUUUAGGUCCAGUUUUGUAUUACUUCAAAACAAAACAACUCUAGCUGAAACACUGAAUUUUUUAGCUCCUCCUCUAAACCCAUCCCAGCUCCCUGUAUUUGUUGUUAAAGUGGCAUGACUAUUGUUUCGGUCUUAGGAUGUUAACUGCCAAAACAAAUGACUCAAAAGUGAGCGGCUUACCACAGUAAGCCAUGGAAAACUUCAGUGGUGUUCCUGUUUUGUGGGCAGGCUUCCAUGUAAUCAUUCGGGGACCCAGGCUCCUUCAAGUCUUGUGGAUAUGGCCUCCUCUUCAGCCUCAGCAACCUCUUCCAUCAGGAGAAUGGGGAAGGAGAGCAGAGAAGCAUGUGUGGGAGGGUGUCAUGGACCAGGCCUGGAUGGGGAGCAUAUUACUUCUGUUCACAGUCUUUGCUCAGAACUCAAUUAUACUGUACAUCCAACCUCAUGGGAGGCUGGAAGAAGCAUCCUUGCUGUGGGCCCAGGAGGGAGCAGGAACUACAGCUGCGAGAUAUGUGUAGUCAUUGUUAUUUGUUCCCCUACUUGAGUUACUGUAUUCAGCCAGCCACCAAGUCCUGUUAGUUUUUACUUAGCAAUGUCUCUGUCAUCUUUCCUUUCUCCCCUCUUCUCUCUGUCACUUCCUGAAUCCAGCCCAACACUUUCUCUCCUCUGUUUCAUCCCAUUCUGCAUUCCCCUCUGCCAGAUUCCUCAAGGGCAGCUGCUGCAUUUUCCAGCUUUGUAUUCUCAGUUGCUUGCGGGCAUCUCAUAAGCAUCAAGAAAUAUUUGCGCUGUGAAAACCUGACAGACUCAUCUUCCUUAAACACCAAUUUCAGCAUGUCAUUCCCUUGCUGAGAAAUCUUCAGGAGAUCUUGUAUGUGUCCAUCAACCCCAUAUUUGUCUGCCUGUCUUUAAGGAUGUAGGCCCUUCUUUCCGUCGUACUCUACAACCUUCUCCUCUGCACCCCGGGCCCAACUCCAAACCAAGUGGGUCCUGGCUUCUGGGAGCCUGAACACAUCACUAUGCCUCUCCUGAAAUACUCUCAUUUUCCUCCUCCCUCUGUCAUUCCAAAAAUCAUCUUCUCUCGAGGCCUGCCCAAGCCUUGCCUCCUCCACGAAGCUUUCCCUUUAUGUUCCUGCUUUCCCUGACAGCCCCUCCUCUGAACUCUGGCAGCCGGUAUUGUUGGUAACCAGGAUACUCUGUCUUGGCUUGGAGAGAGCCCUGAAUGCAAAUGAUGUGCCCUGUUGUUAGACUCUUUGGACUCAGAUGCCUCACAUGAAAAAGAGACCAAGAAGGAGCUGCCUUGAUUGCAGGGAUGUGGGCAGAGAUUAGUCCUUUAGUACCACACCUCCUGCUCCAGUAUCUUCUUGCAGCCCUCUGAAGAGUAGAGUUUAAAAACUGUUGAUUAAAUCCAAUCCUUUCAUUUUACAGAUGAAGAAACUGAGGUAUCCAGAGAGGCAAACUUGCCUAAGAUCCUGGUUGGUUAGUGUCAGAAUCAGAACCUACACCUCCUGACUCUUAGUGCUGGUCUUCUUUCCUACCAGCUGCCUCCUCUAUAUUCUAGCUUGCUUUUGGUCUCUGGGACACUGUGUAAGAGAUAAUAAACACUAUAGGGCAUAACUUCCCUGGUAGCCGUAUCCAUGGCUGAAAUUUACAUGAUAGUGAAUACCUCAUUCAUACUUGUUGAUUUGAAUUCAACUUCAUAACAGAGGGUUUGAAAUCUAGUGAAGUUAGCCAAGAUCUGUGACUAAAACUAUGAACUCAUUUUACAUACAUAUAGACAAAGAUUAGAAGGGAACACAGAAAAAAACUAAUUAGAUAUCUGGCAGGACCCCAGGUGAGUUUCUUUUAUUUGUGCCAGAUGUAAGGUGACAAUGUAAUGAAAUUAACUGGAGUCCAAAUAUUCUCUAUGCUUUUAGUGCAACUGAAUAUUUUUUUCUUUUGCUCUGAUUUCAGAGUUUACUGAUUCCAGUAUUCUAUCUUCUUUGAAGUUUCCCUCUAAUCUUUCUUUUUUCCAUUCAAAAUGUCCUCAGGCAUUUGACAGUCUAAUUCAUACCAGAAAUUUAUGAUUAAUAAUAUCAGUAAAAUGAAACUUGUAAUUAUUUACACCAUAAUUUUAAACAUGGUGAAGCAUUUGCAAAAGCAAGGACUUUGCCUGAAGUGUUUUAAUGUGCAGACUCCACAUCGAUAUGCAACAUGAAUAAAUCCCUUUAGAUAAGAUGACUGUUGGAUCUCAAAGGUAGAAAAUUCUUCAGUUAUGUCCAGUAAUAAUAGAAAUCAAUUUUUCAAAGAGAGAACAUCCCCCAAAGGACAGAGAACAAAGGCAGGAAGGAGGCUGCUUUGAAAACUGGCUUGAAAGAGAUAUGGGGUAGGCAUGGCAUGUGUCUGAGAACAGGCCAUGCUCAAGCCAAGGGAUAUGAAGAUGCUGGCAUCUCAGAGCUGACAACUUUGGAAAGAGAAGAUUCCAUGCUUUUUCUUCACUAGAAUCUGGGACAAGGAACUGGAGCUGAAUGUCUGUGAGAGAGAUUGGUUUGAUGUAUUUUUUCUCAACUCUUUUUUUUUUUUGGAGACAGAGCCUCAAUCUGUUGCCCAGGCUGGAGUGCAGUGGUGUGAUCACGGCUCACUGCAGCUGUGACCUCCUGGGCUCAAGCGAUCCUCCCACUUCAGCCUCCCAGGUAGCUGCAACUACAGGCAUGGGCCACCAUGCCCCACCUCUCAAUUCUUAAGAGGCAAGUUUGAAGAGCUAUUAUAAGGAAAAUUCGCCAGAUCACAUUCUGGUACCAAAGGGGCAGGGGUGGGAAAUACUACUUUCAAAUACUUUAAAUCACAAGGAAACUGAAAAGUCAUCUACAAGUACUUCUUAUGGUCCUUGUUUAGAAUCUUGUUGCAGAGACCUUGCUGGAUGGGAGCCAAGGCUGCAUUGGGAGGUUGGGCAGUUUGUGUACUGCACAGAGGCCCAGGCUGAGGUAGUGAGUACAAAGUGAAAUCCAGCCUGGUUCCACCUACUGGGCUCUGCACUGGCAUGAGGCUGUCUCAGCUCAAAGGAAGGGCAAUUUCUUUUCAAUUUAUUCAAAGUUGUUUUGCUAAGCCAAGUACCCACAGGGUGUACUCUUUUUAAAUUUGUGCAAAGGCACUGAGUAAACUCAUAGUAGCCCAGAAAAGGGAAGGGGAAGCAGAAAAACAUCCCCAAGCUAAUGAAAGGCCAGAGGUGAACAUUUUUUUUUUUAUUUUUUUAGAGGUGGGAUCUCACUGUAUUGCCUAGGCUGGUCUUGAACUCCUGGCCUCAAGUGAUUUUUCCCACCUCAGCCUCCCAAAUAGUUGGUAUCACAGGUGUGAGCCAGUGUGCCCAGCUCUCAGAGGUAAACAUUUGACCUAAGCUCAAUCAAGCCAUUAGCUGACUAUGACCUAUAUAGCCUGCUCAAAAAGUUUAGCUGGGUCUAUCACGUGUUACUUGGGAAUCUGAAGUCCAAAACAUGGUAAGAAGUUACCAGUUGGAGCAGGGGAAAAAGGUGAAAAGAUGCUAGGUGAUAGUUCCAGGAACCUAGCCUGCUAAAUUAUGGAUAAAUUGCUGAAGUUAAAAGCCUGCAAAGCUAUGAGUGAGCAGGGGAGGCCAGCUCAUAGACAUGGAGAAAGCAGCAGAAACAUGGAGGGGAACAGCUCUAUUUAGUGGCGGGGACCAAACAGAGGGAAGCUUGAGACUUUCUGCUGCUAAUGACUCUAAGGGCACCUCAGAUACAGAACAUGCUGAAGCUCUAGUUCCCAUGAGGAUUGGCUGUGCUGUGAUUCAGUUGCCAGAUCCUGUGACAUCCCUGUAUUCUUCCUUACUACUUAUUUAUUCUUAGAGCAACUCUGCCCCUUCCUCCCUUCACCCCCUGCCCCAACAAUCAAGUUCAGUGGCUCUCUGUUCUUUCUACCCCAACAAUGUGACCCAUAGUAGGGGUCUGAAUAGUACUCCUUGAACUGGUAAAAUCUGUAAACAUCAUAGGAAUUUUUUUUAAAAGGGAAAGAACAAUGUAAUUUGCUGUGGUCAAGUAAGGCUUCAUAGAAGAACUAGAACUUUAAGUCAGGGGAAGGGAAGAGGGAGAUGUUCCAGGCCUGAGAUCGAGCACACUAAAUUAUCCUGGGUCAUGCCAAGGAAAAGGCUGGUUAGACAGCAGUAAUUUGAGAUUGCUUGGGAAUGCUGAAAGCCUGAGAGUCCUCUCUUGAUUCUUCUGGCUGCCAACAACAACCCCCCUCCCAUCUCCCCAAGUCAUCAUUUGGAUUAGUCUGACCCCCAAACUCGGAAAAGACAAAGAAUGACUACUAAAGAAAUCUCACUAUGUCAUGGAAGAUGGAAAGGUAAAAUUGUGCUGUAAUAAUCCUGCAGACAGAAUAAGUGUUGUAGUGGAUUAUUAUGUUGUCUAAAAACAGUCUUUGUGAAUAGUGAAUGACAUUUGUGAAAUUUUCGGCUAUUUACUUUGCAGUGCUUCCAUUUCCAUUCUAUUUGGAGUGAUGGUUUCUCUUUUCCGACACCUCCCCUCUUCCUUCAACUUGGCAGUGUGAGAUAACCUGACAGGGUGUAUUGAGGAAUCCUUUCAAGGUACAGCCACUCAAAGUUCUCCAGAAUUCUGGAAAAUUCCACUUCUUCAGUUGCAUAUGAGUGUGCAUGUGACAGGAACAGAGAGAGAGAGAAUGAGACUGAGAGCUAGAAAGACAGAACAUCACUGGCCAGCUGCCAUGGAGAGAAACAUUUGUGAAGAGGCAUUUGUGAAGAAACAGCCCAAGGGUUGGGGAAAUACUUGAGGAUAGAGCAAAACCCUUUAAUGUGCUUCAGUUUUGCAGAGCAAACCUCAGUGUGCUGGUGCAGCCAUCUAAAACCUCAACUUUCAUAGCAUCUUAAUUUUUAAUAUUUCAUGCCAAAAAAUAGGUCAUAUACCCUUGGUGCAACAUUUAAUAUUUCUAUGUGUUCAUCAUGAAUAUUAAAUGGCUUUUUCACUCCUAUGUCCCAGCCCGUCAGGAUCUUUCUUUGGAGACAACUUUUCUUUUUUUUUUUUUUUUUUCACUUAACUUCCAAAGAUGGUUCGUGUAUCAACCAGCGUGUGUGUCCUUUUUCUUCUCCUUUUAAAUGCAAAUGACAGCAUGCUGUGUACAUCAUUUUAUACUGACAUUUUUGUUUUUACUACUUUAUAUGUAUCUUGGAGAUAAGUCCAGGAUUUAUAGUUUUUUGUUUUGUUUGGUUUUGUUUAACAACUACCUGGUGUUCCAUUCUGUGAAUGUGCCAUCGUUUGUUUAACUUGUUUCUGUUGGGAGUUAUGGACUGAAGUGUGUACUUCCCAAAAUUCAUAUGUUGAAGUUCUUACCACUAGUUCUUCAGAAUAAGACUGUAUUUGAAGAUAGGUCUUUAAAGAGGUAACUAAGGUUAAAUUAGGUCAUUGAGUGGCCCCUAGUCCAGUAUGACUGGUGUCCUUUUAGGAAGAGGAGAUUAGCACACAGGCAUACACAGAGGAAAGACCAUGGGAAGACACAGGAAGAUGCUGAUCUAUAAGCCGAGAAGAGAUGUCUGCAUAUUAAUGGAAGGCUGUGCCUGAGUCCACAAGAAGACUGGCUGAUCCCAGAUUCAGAGCAUUGUUGAGUUUGCCUUGACUGAAGUUUCAUUGCAAAAAUAUUGUAGGUGUACCUAGAGACAUCAUCCACCUUUACAGGAACAGAGUAUAUGACUGAUUCUGUGCAGUUUGCAAAGAAUGUUGUGUGUCUGAGAGUUGCUUUUGUAGAAACAUAACACUGUUUGUGCAGGUUAUUGUGGGAAGAGACAGAAAACUCCCACCCACCUUUGAGAAUGGCAGGCCACUGAUACCCAGAACACAUGUUGAAUGGCAGGUUGCCUUUGAUCAUUUUGGAUCUCUCUCCUGAAAUUGCACAGCAUGUGGCAGAAUUGGAAAGGGAAACACAGCCUGCUGGACUUCAAAGUGUGUGUUCUCAGCCACCUCAUUUUACUGCUUGGUGAUAAAAAUAACCUAGGAUACUUCUGAUUAUUCAGUCCAGAGCACUGUCAUGUAAAAUGACAAAAAAAAAAAAAAAAAGUAUUAUAAAAGAUUGCUAGUUUCCCUAAGAUAGGAGUUUUUCUAUCCAGGCAUCAAGGAUCCCAAGAAUCCUUGAAAAUUGCAUAUAACAUUUGGGUUUAUGUAAAUAUCUGGAGUUGUUUUUUCAUGAUCAGAGCCCCUAACUUCCCACAGAAUUGUAAAAGGGUCCAUCUGUGCCUAUUGCCUAGAAAUGUUUACUGCUGUUUCAGAAAACCAACUGUAGAUCCUCCCUUUUCCCUCCUAGGCCAUUUUCCAAGACAUCAACAUGUAAGUUUUAUUUAAAAAUUUAUUUAGAGGUAAGUGGAAACUGUCAUUGUUCUCAUUUUGCUCUACAAGGAAUGGAAGUGUAAAGAGGUUAAGGUGAUUCAGCACCAGUGUGUUGGUCCGUUUGCAUUGCUAUAGAGGAAUACUGGACUCUGGGUGAUUUAUAAAGAAAAGUGGUUUAUUUGGCUCACAGUUCUGAGGGCUGUACAAACAAGGCACCAGCAUUUGUUUGGCUUCUGGUGAGGCACAGGGAGCUCUUAGUCAUGGUGGAAGGGAAGGGGAACGGCAUGUCACAUGGUAAGAAAGGAAGUGAGAGAGGGAGGGAGGAGGUGCUAGUCUCUUUUAAACAACCAAUCUCAUUACAGCAGGGAGGGCACCGAGUGCCUAUGAAGGAUCUGCCUCCAUGACCCAAACACCUCCCACCAGGCCCCACCUCCAACAUUGCGGAUUACAUAUCAGCAUGAGAUUUGCAGGGGACAGAGAUCUAAAAUGUAUCAACUAGGAAUCCUGGUGCAUGGUCCUGCCUCUGAAACUGCUCUUUGCCCAGGGUCUGUCAUCUCUACUUGUAAACUAUUGGUUACAUUUUCUGGCCAGGCUUCCAACUCUUCCUAAAAGUGCCUCCCAUUUUUCUGCCUUUGUGCUUUCUGCUCAUGCCAUUUGCUUUUGGGAGCUUUUCAAUUCUACCCACCCUGCGAGGCCCAGCCAGGGCUGACGUCCUCUGAGCAGCUUCUGUAACUACUCCAGUGGAAAGUGUUCUUCUCUUCCUCCAUAUUAGGAUGGUACCUAACUCUAUAUGAGCUGUCACAGCAUGAACCUUGAGUCAUUUCUCACAUUCUUUUCUUAAGCCAUCACCUGUACCUUGUGUUUGUAGCCUGCGAUUGCCAGGCCACAGCCAUCAGGGCUUUUGUGGAAAGGGGACAAUGAGUAUCAUAUUUCUUAGGCUCCUGCUGAGGCAGGUCCCUCUACCUCCCUUGAGGUCACCCUUGUUUCCGAGAGUCCCUGGGGUGGCUCGUGUGUGGCCUGCGCAGGGUCCCCUUCCUUCUGCCCUGACUCUGGCUGGUGGUGGGGGCUCCUCCUGAGGCCCCCCUGCUCCCAGAGCUCUGGGAACUUGCUGCCCAGAUGGCUGUCCAAGCCCAGUUGCACCAGGGCCACACUGAGCUGAGGCCGCUUUGCCUGUUCUACUCACGCUGCAGCAGUCCCUCGGCAGGCUGACCCAAGUUGGCCUCUCAGCUGGGUCGGGGGGAACCCCUGAUCUUCACCUCUAUUUUGUUCUUUGUUUCAUGGGUUCAGAGCAGUGAGACUUGGCUCCCAAUGGCUUACAAAUUUUUAGGCCAACCACUCUUUCCAUCUUAUUUGGUGUUCCUAGAAUGCAGCUGGGAGUCCAGGGCACUGUAUCCUCUGAUUCCAGGUCUCAGUCACUGAUCCAGGUUAUGGCCUGACUCUCUUUCUCUUUGGGAGGACUCUUUCCUAGGAGACCUAUUGGUAAUAAUAUGCUGGGGGCAGGCACUGGCUAUAGGCUUUGCCCCUUGACCUUACAGAAACCUUUGUAUAACCUUAUGAAGUCGAUAGAAGGAUGAAGCACUAGACUGGGGAUCAGGAAGCCUGGAAGCCCUCUGGUGGCUUUCCAGUUGCUGUUGUUUUUAGUUUAAUAUAUUACUUUCUUUAACUGAAAUCAUUCAAGAAGCCCAGCAUGUAAAACAAAUAUGGCUGGAGCUGCUCUGGAUGCAAACAGGGUCAAUGUGAGGAGUCCUACAACUCAGCCACCCUUUCCCUGGGCAGCUGGGCCCUGAGUUUUUUCUGGGGAAGGAUAGCCAAAACACAGCUCCCAGAGCACCCAGUCUCACCCAGAACACAGGUGAGCUUCCGGGUACAUCAGAGGUACAUUUCCCACCCAGAAGGGAUGCAAGUUCAUUUUCACACAGGCCAAAAAGAAACCCAGUUUUAUCUGGUGGUGAUUUAUUCUUUCUCUCCCUAGCCACUUCUCUUGAGCCGAGUCUCCAGCCUCUGUGGGUUUAAUCUCUUACUAAUCCUCCACCUCCCCUCCAGCAUCUUUAGCUGACACUCUUUCCUCCUGGCAGAUGAUCACCACAGGCCUUUAAGGGAUGGUAAAAUGAGCCAGGAAAUAAUCAGAGUUUGUAGACAGCUGGAGAAAAAAAUGUGCUGAAGAAGCAAGACCUCCAUGCUGUCAUCCUGUUGGGACUCACCCCAAUAGCCUCAGCCGGCUCUAGCUUUAGUGGGUGCUGAGAUGGUCUGCCCUGAGCAGUGAAAAAUGUCAGGGGAGUGAGCAACAACAAAAGCCUGCAUCCUUUCUCUCACUCCAUCCUGGAGUUGAGAAUGACUGCAGAAUGAGCAACUAUCCAGGAUACAGGAUAUACUUGUCAAAGUGAGAAAGGUACCUACAGGCCAUUUGGAAUGACUCAUGAGAUUCCUACCUGAUAAAGGAAUGUCUCAGCCCUUCCUGGAUAUGUAUUAGGGGAUGCUUAACUCUAGAAAACCCUCCUCAAAUGCCACAGAUGGCAAACUCCAGGCUGUGUGUGUUUUCCAAGUAGGGAAAACCAAGGAUAUAGAAGGCGAGCUGCAUUCUAAAAUGAUACUGAGACACAUGUUUUCAAGUGCAGAUUCUGGAUUAAAAUGGUAUUAAAUGAAAUAAGCAGGAGGCUAUUGGCUUGAGGCUGAGUCUGUACUUUGAGUCUUUAAUUAACAAACUGCAACCUAGUUUAGUAAGUAAACAAAUUGGAAGUCUAAUAGGAGCAUAACAGUGGAGUCUCAGCCAAUCACAAGCAGCCAUGCUUUAGCCAAUCACAGGAAGCUGAUUGAUCAGACCAUGUCCAAACAAGACAAAUGCUGAGAUGUAACCAAUAAAGCUCUUUCUGUCCUUUACUUCCUGUUCUGUUUAUAAAUACUGCCCACACUGCAGAGUGAAUUUCUCUGAAUCUCUUCUAGUUAAGUGCUGCCCAAUUCAUGAAUCAUUCUUUGCUUCCAAAAACUGUUAAAUUUAAUUUAUCAAAAGCUUUUC
rnacentral:lncRNA from 10 species